CAAUAACCAUUCCUCUUCAGAUAGCUGGAUGCAGGCUGGGGUGAGCAUGAGCACACUGCAUGACUAAUUGGUCCUAAAUUGUCUGCUGGAUGCAGCCUGGGAUGAGUGUGAACUCACUGCAUGGUUAUCUGCAGCUCAAUGUUCCACUGGAUGAAGGAUGAGGUCAGGUGGUUCUCACUAUGUGACUAACAGAUGGCUGGCAACAGGCUGUGGUGAGGUCGAGCACACAGUCAGACCAAUUGGACCUAAAUGGUCUGCUGGAUAUAGC
rnacentral:lncRNA from 1 species